UCUACGGGUGGCAGCAGUGGGGAAUAUUGGACAAUGGGCGAAAGCCUGAUCCAGCCAUGCCGCGUGUGUGAAGAAGGCCUUCGGGUUGUAAAGCACUUUCAGUGGGGAAGAAAGCCUUGGGGCUAAUACCCUCGAGGAAGGACAUCACCCACAGAAGAAGCACCGGCUAACUCCGUGCCAGCAGCCGCGGUAAUACGGAGGGUGCGAGCGUUAAUCGGAAUUACUGGGCGUAAAGCGCGCGUAGGCGGUCUGAUAAGCCGGUUGUGAAAGCCCCGGGCUCAACCUGGGAACGGCAUCCGGAACUGUCAGGCUAGAGUGCAGGAGAGGAAGGUACAAUUCCCGGUGUAGCGGUGAAAUGCGUAGAGAUCGGGAGGAAUACCAGUGGCGAAGGCGGCCUUCUGGACUGACACUGACGCUGAGGUGCGAAAGCGUGGGUAGCAAACAGGAUUAGAUACCCCGGUAGUC
rnacentral:rRNA from 1 species